rnacentral:rRNA from 1 species
AAACUAAUUUAAUUUGGCGGCAUUUCAUCUAAUCAGAGGAAUUUGUCUAUUAAUCGAUAUUCCACGUUAAAUUUCACUUUAAUUUUAAAAUUUAUAUACCGCCAUCUUAAGAAUCAAUUAAAAAAUUUCUUUCCAAAUAAAUAAUAAAAAGUUAGGUCAAGGUGUAAUCCAUAUAAAAGAAUAAGAUGAAUUACAUUAAAUAAUAUUUAAAGAUUAUCUAUAAAAUAUAAAUAUAAAUAAGGAUUUGAAAGUAAUAUAUAAACAAUAAUUAUAUACGAAAAAGAUAAUAAAUGUGCACACAUCGCCC